UGGACCCCUGUUCAAAGCAACACAGAUCAUCCACAUGACAGCCAACCAGUAGAAAAAGUAGUUAGUUUAGCUCAGUUGGAUUGGCUUGUAUAGCGCCCCUUGUAUUCAGUUAGGUAAGGUCAUACCACUUCACUUAGUAACACACUUAUUCUAUUGCUUUAUACUAUGAUAUUAUUCAAUCAAUUACAACAGUGAUCUUCUUGACAUACCUAGGGCGAUCACCGGAUGGGCCACCAAAGGGUCUGCCAGGUGGCUUGGCCUGUUUCUUCAAAGUGGCAGGGACAAUUUCGGAAGGAAGGUUAAGGUAAGUUCUGAGAAACUCAAUGCCAUCAUUGGUGAGGAACCAGUAAUAAUGCAUCCAA
rnacentral:lncRNA from 1 species